rnacentral:rRNA from 1 species
GACGAACGCUGGCGGCGUGCCUAAUACAUGCAAGUAGAACGCUGAAGGAGGAGCUUGCUUCUCUGGAUGAGUUGCGAACGGGUGAGUAACGCGUAGGUAACCUGCCUGGUAGCGGGGGAUAACUAUUGGAAACGAUAGCUAAUACCGCAUAAUAGUAGAUGUUGCAUGACAUUUGCUUAAAAGGUGCAAUUGCAUCACUACCAGAUGGACCUGCGUUGUAUUAGCUAGUUGGUGAGGUAACGGCUCACCAAGGCAACGAUACAUAGCCGACCUGAGAGGGUGAUCGGCCACACUGGGACUGGGACACGGCCCAGGCUCCUACGGGAGGCAGCAGUAGGGAAUCUUCGGCAAUGGACGGAAGUCCGACCGAGCAACGCCGCGUGAGUGAAGAAGGUUUUCGGAUCGUAAAGCUCUGUUGUAAGAGAAGAACGAGUGUGAGAGUGGAAAGUUCACACUGUGACGGUAUCUUACCAGAAAGGGACGGCUAACUACGUG